UACGAAGGGGGCUAGCGUUGCUCGGAAUCACUGGGCGUAAAGGGUGCGUAGGCGGGUCGACACGUCCGUUGUGAAAUCGCCCGGCUCAACUGGGCGGGGUCAGCGGAUACGGUCGAGCUUGAGCAAGCUAGGGGGCAAUGGAAUUCCCGGUGUAGUGGUGGAAUGCGUAGAUAUCGGGAGGAACACCGGUGGCGAAGGCGGGUCUCUGGGCCGAUAUCGACGCUGAGGAGCGAAAGCGUGGGGAGCGAACAGG
rnacentral:rRNA from 1 species